GGUCAAGCGGUUAAGACACCGCCCUUUCACGGCGGUAACACGGGUUCGAAUCCCGUA
rnacentral:tRNA from 1 species